rnacentral:rRNA from 1 species
AACAGGAUUAGAUACCCUGGUAGUCCACGCCGUAAACGAUGUCGACUUGGAGGUUGUGCCCUUGAGGCGUGGCUUCCGGAGCUAACGCGUUAAGUCGACCGCCUGGGGAGUACGGCCGCAAGGUUAAAACUCAAAUGAAUUGACGGGGGCCCGCACAAGCGGUGGAGCAUGUGGUUUAAUUCGAUGCAACGCGAAGAACCUUACCUACUCUUGACAUCCAGAGAACUUAGCAGAGAUGCUUUGGUGCCUUCGGGAACUCCGAGACAGGUGCUGCAUGGCUGUCGUCAGCUCGUGUUGUGAAAUGUUGGGUUAAGUCCCGCAACGAGCGCAACCCUUAUCCUUUGUUGCCAGCGGUUCGGCCGGGAACUCAAGGGAGACUGCCAGCGAUAAACUGGAGGAAGGUGGGGAUGACGUCAAGUCAUCAUGGCCCUUACGAGUAGGGCUACACACGUGCUACAAUGGCAUAUACAAAGAGAAGCGACCUCGCGAGAGCAAGCGGACCUCAUAAAGUAUGUCGUAGUCCGGAUUGGAGUCUGCAACUCGACUCCAUGAAGUCGGAAUCGCUAGUAAUCGUGGAUCAGAAUGCCACGGUGAAUACGUUCCCGGGCCUUGUACACACCGCCCGUCACACCAUGGGAGUGGGUUGCAAAAGAAGUAGGUAGCUUAACCUUCGGGAGGGCGCUUACCACUUUGUGAUUCAUGACUGGGGUGAAGUCGUAACAAGGUAACC